UCCUCAAUUUAAUUCUGAUUACUAAUUACAUUUUGGCUAAAAAUUUACAGCAUGAUGUGGAUGUGGAUGCUGGUGUGCUGAAGAAAGUAAUUUUAGCUGAUGGGUGCCAUGGUAACUGUCAAGGGUGCUCAAUCAGUUAGCCUGCGUCACCCUAUUGAGCUGCCUCUUCCUUUAAACAGAACCCAAAAUGGUUUUGCUUCAGGUCUUCUAACUCUGGCUGAUUGCCUUUGUCAUGCUUCCCCACCCAAGGGGAACCACUUCUCUCCCUCCGCAUUGUUGGCCCUACAUCUCUUGUCUCCCCUACGUCAUCAUCAUCCUCUCCUAGCAACAGGCUCAAGCUUAAGCGCCGUGCUCCUGGCCUGGUGGAGCUAUCCUCAGCAUAAAAAAUGAAAGCCUAGAAACCGUCUCCAACUUCAAUUUGCGAGGAGAAGUCCAUACCCUUUUGACUCCAGAUAGUUUGGCAACCUUGUGGCCUCUCACAUCAGUAAAUGGGACAAACUCCAACUUGCUUGGUUUUGAAAAGAUGUUCUCCUCUGUGCUGGGUUCAAAAGCUAACAGACGUGUGUGAAGAUAGGUUUCGGGGUGGAGAAGAAGUUAAGUGACGGAGAUGGGGUUGAUUUGACCGAGUGGAGGACAAAACCCGAGACUGUGAAGAUGCACUUUGAGGUAUUGUAUUGGCUAAGAUUGAUGGUAACAAGGUUGUGCCUGAAAGAAUAACGCAGGUAGGUUAAUCCUGAGGAUUCUGUGGCACCGAUUAAUGUUCUCAUGGCCAUGGGGAACGUGACUAUGUCAAUUGCCAACAACCCCCGUUCAGCUUGUAAAUUGUUGGCAAAAAUAAAAAAUUUAUUUUCCCUUUUGUUUUUUCCUGAAAUCUUGAUAAUUGACAUAAAGAUAUCUAGCAAUGUAAUAUUAGUAAAAUGAAGUUGAGAAGGGUGGAGACGCUUGCUAGUUGCUAGUUAUUAAUUAUUAUGUUGUCAAAUAGACUUCAAACAAAGAAUUUAAGAGAAUUUACCCUUUUUUUUUUUAGAGCGGAUAGAGUUAAACAUAAUGAAAAGUAGGUGAAAACUUUGUAAAGAGGUUAAUAUGUAUUAGUUCCGUUUCAAAAUUAGAGAUAUAUUUUUAACAGUACAGGCGAUCACAAGGUUAACAAUGGAGGAAUAAAUAUCUAGUGACUUGAGAGUAAUAAUUAAUUAGUUACCUUUCACCGUGUGUCAUCCUUGUUUUAUAUCUCCAAAGUUCGAUUUGUCCUGUAUGCAACUGACUUUUUGGGCCCACAGCUUUUAGCCGACUAAGCCCUGUCCAAUCCUCAUUAAGUACAAUGUAGAGAUGACAGUCAAAGUUCUAUCCCCAAUCUACACCGGUCAAAGCCCAAGUGGAACCAUACUCAUCUAGUAAUUUGGCCCACUGUCACAGCCCAAUACUUCAUAGGCCCCAAAAUAAAGAUAAUAUUCACCCAAUGGGCUGGCCCAAUGAACCGGCCUAAUACUUUCAAGACCCACCUCAACAUGUCUAAAGUAUUAUGGCCCCAACAAUACGCUUCCACUCCCUUACUCUAUCCGAAAUAUAUUAUCCAUAAGGGUGUAAACGAGUCGAACCGGAGCGAACAAAGAGUUACUCGAAUUCGACUCGAAAAAAUAAAUUCGUACUCGAAUUCGGCUCGAAUUCGAAUUAUAUUUGAAAAAUUCUACUCAGAUUCGACUCGACUCGAAUAUUUAUUACUCGAAUUCGAUCCGACUCGACUCAAAUAUUUAUUCAAACUACUCGCGAG
rnacentral:lncRNA from 1 species